CCGGGCAUUACUAAUCUUUCUAUGCCUCAGUUUCCUUACCUGUAAGAUGGGAUAAACAACAUGCCAAGCUCACAGGACUGCUGGGAGGCAUCAGUGAGAUGAUGCCGGGCCGCACACAGGGAGUGUGCUCUGCAGGGCGCCCACAGGACCGGGUGAUGCCGCUGCCCUGCCAGUGUGAGGCUCUGGGCAGUAGCCCUACAGCACCGCUCCUGCUUCCUCCCAUGCCUCCCCUUAGGUUAUUUCUUAUCAGGUCAGACUAUAGUGCUGCCACAAGCACUUCCCUCCCUCACAUCAAUUCUUCAGUUCUCACAUACUAGGAGAUACACAGUACUAUCACCCACCUCCUGGAGGGCUUACUGCUCCUGCUUGCUGGGUCUCCACUGUUUAAAACAAAAGAGACACGUGUUGUUUCUGAUGUUAACUGUUCUUCCUCAAGAUGUACGCUUAACAAUUCUAUUUAACAGAAACUUUCUCCCGCAGCCAUCGGAGAAGGCACUGUUUGCAGGAAUGAGGGACUUCCCUCUGAACAGUAGAAAUUAUCGAGCCUGGUUAGUUCCCAUCAGAACCCAUUUUCUCUCCACUGGGGCCCAGCUCUGAGGGAAACUCCGAAGGAACCGAAGGAGGUGGCUUUGAAGGCCAUCUGCCAACUGCCCGCACAAUUCCGGCCGGCAGCACACAACCCAGGGCCCAGUUUGGAAACGAACUCCUCACCCUCUGCAAAAUGCCUGCUCACAGACCAGGCCAGUCUCCACUCUUCCCACCGUCCACUGUAUUUACUCACUUGGUCACCCCACAUGGCUGGCUGGGGGGUCUCACUCACCCCUGCAACAAACCUUGUUUAUUGUUCACUCCCUGACCUAGACAGAGAACAUCCACACUCCUCAGGGCCCUACGGCGCCUUCACAACAUGCCUGCUGUCUCCCAUCUCAGCUGAGGCCUCUCCCUGCACAGGCAUCCUGGGGGCAGCCUUAAAGGUGCAAUAGGCUCUUCCUCAGCCCCACAUGCCCUGCAUCCUGCCUUGGAGACCAUGCUCACUGGGGUUUAGUCCUCCUGGCGUCCGCACUGUACACACACCUGUCCUCACAUGUGGCAAUGCUUUCCCUUUAUUUACAUGACUCAGCUGCCUGCAAGCUCUACCUUGUGUGCUGUGCACUGUGCUAUGGGCUGGAAUGACCACGAUAAAGACAUGACCUCGGUUUUCAGAGGAGCAUCCACACAGAUCAUCUCAGCUGUAAUAAAAAUGAGACGAGCUCUGACCUGUGUGGCUCAGUUGGCUGAGUGUCAUCCUGUGCGCCAAAAAGUUGCUGGUUCGAUGCCUGGUCAGGGCACAUGCUCAGGUGUGGGUCCCACCCCACGUCGGGGUUCAUGUGGGAGGCACCGAGUGUUUCUCUCUCACAUCAGUGAUUCUCUCUCCCUCUCUAAAAAUCAAUAAAAACAUUAAAAACGAAGAGACAAGAGCCAUAGCAUAGGCUGCUUCAGUAACAAAAGUUGUCAUUCACUGAGAGGAAGGGAAGGGACUUGGAGUUAAAAGGACAGGAGAUUAUUCAAGGAGGGAAGGGCAGGCCAAGAAAAGGAAAGGCAUGAAAGUGUAGUGUGCCUGUGAGAGGAACUGGUUCAAAUUGCUGGAGACCUAGGGGAAGGUGGCAGACCAGCGCAGGCUCUGGUGUGAGGCAAGGCCAGGGCCACAGAGCCUCGAGUGAGACAGAACAGCAAUGAAAAUGUGGCCAGACCACAGUCCUGAGCCCAUCACUGUCACCCAUGUCAUGUGGCUCUGGUACUAAGAACAGUCAGGUUGUCCCUGCACCAGGCUUUGUCUUCAUGUGGGCACCGCAUCCCACAGAAGUCCCUGGAAAUGCUUUGUGCUCUGGCUGCGAGUGUAGAUCCAGAGCCUGCCGGGGUCAAAUGUCGGACUUGUGGGCUCCACUUUAGACUACCACCCUUGUUCUCUGACCUUCUACUUCUAAGUCCUAUCUUUUUACACCCAGGAAAGCGGCUUUAGCACUUUUUUUUUUUUUUUUUUUUGAAAAAGGAUAUUGUGAGUAACUGGUUGCUCUGAGAUCAGCAGUGGAUGAAUUUUGAGGAGGGAAAACCAACAGCAGGGGAUGGGUGGAAGGAGCAACCACCCAGAUUGGAUGAACACAGAAUGGAGGUGGGACUUGGGGUGACUGGUCAUAACAGAAACCAAGAGACAGUCCAGGGAGAGCGUGCGGUAAGAGAGCGUGGAGUUCACCAACUUGUAAGGUUUAGGCAAGGCAGACAAAGUGUCCACUGGGAGAAGAGCGAAGGGCCCGGCCAGGGGAAGUGUGAGAACAGCCUGGGGCGAUGGGGAGCAGGGAUGAGCUGGCAGGUUUAACAUAAGGGCUGCCAAGUAUCCAAUGAGGACCUGAACUAAUAAUGCCUUUCUUAGGA